rnacentral:rRNA from 1 species
GAUGAACGCUGGCUGCGUGCCUAAUACAUGCAAGUCGAGCGAACGGACGAGAAGCUUGCUUCUCUGAUGUUAGCGGCGGACGGGUGAGUAACACGUGGAUAACCUACCUAUAAGACUGGGAUAACUUCGGGAAACCGGAGCUAAUACCGGAUAAUAUUUUGAACCGCAUGGUUCAAAAGUGAAAGACGGUCUUGCUGUCACUUAUAGAUGGAUCCGCGCUGCAUUAGCUAGUUGGUAAGGUAACGGCUUACCAAGGCAACGAUGCAUAGCCGACCUGAGAGGGUGAUCGGCCACACUGGAACUGAGACACGGUCCAGACUCCUACGGGAGGCAGCAGUAGGGAAUCUUCCGCAAUGGGCGAAAGCCUGACGGAGCAACGCCGCGUGAGUGAUGAAGGUCUUCGGAUCGUAAAACUCUGUUAUUAGGGAAGAACAUAUGUGUAAGUAACUGUGCACAUCUUGACGGUACCUAAUCAGAAAGCCACGGCUAACUACGUGCCAGCAGCCGCGGUAAUACGUAGGUGGCAAGCGUUAUCCGGAAUUAUUGGGCGUAAAGCGCGCGUAGGCGGUUUUUUAAGUCUGAUGUGAAAGCCCACGGUUCAACCGUGGAGGGUCAUUGGAAACUGGAAAACUUGAGUGCAGAAGAGGAAAGUGGAAUUCCAUGUGUAGCGGUGAAAUGCGCAGAGAUAUGGAGGAACACCAGUGGCGAAGGCGACUUUCUGGUCUGUAACUGACGCUGAUGUGCGAAAGCGUGGGGAUCAAACAGGAUUAGAUACCCUGGUAGUCCACGCCGUAAACGAUGAGUGCUAAGUGUUAGGGGGUUUCCGCCCCUUAGUGCUGCAGCUAACGCAUUAAGCACUCCGCCUGGGGAGUACGACCGCAAGGUUGAAACUCAAAGGAAUUGACGGGGACCCGCACAAGCGGUGGAGCAUGUGGUUUAAUUCGAAGCAACGCGAAGAACCUUACCAAAUCUUGACAUCCUUUGACAACUCUAGAGAUAGAGCCUUCCCCUUCGGGGGACAAAGUGACAGGUGGUGCAUGGUUGUCGUCAGCUCGUGUCGUGAGAUGUUGGGUUAAGUCCCGCAACGAGCGCAACCCUUAAGCUUAGUUGCCAUCAUUAAGUUGGGCACUCUAAGUUGACUGCCGGUGACAAACCGGAGGAAGGUGGGGAUGACGUCAAAUCAUCAUGCCCCUUAUGAUUUGGGCUACACACGUGCUACAAUGGACAAUACAAAGGGCAGCGAAACCGCGAGGUCAAGCAAAUCCCAUAAAGUUGUUCUCAGUUCGGAUUGUAGUCUGCAACUCGACUACAUGAAGCUGGAAUCGCUAGUAAUCGUAGAUCAGCAUGCUACGGUGAAUACGUUCCCGGGUCU